UACAGAGGGUGCGAGCGUUAAUCGGAAUUACUGGGCGUAAAGGGCGCGUAGGUGGAUCAGAAAGUUGGGUGUGAAAUCCCUGGGCUUAACCUAGGAACUGCAUUCAAAACUUCUAGUCUAGAGUAUAGUAGAGGGAAGUGGAAUUUCAGGUGUAGCGGUGAAAUGCGUAGAUAUCUGAAGGAACAUCAGUGGCGAAAGCGACUUCCUGGACCAAUACUGACGCUCAUGUGCGAAAGCGUGGGGAGCAAACAGG
rnacentral:rRNA from 1 species